AAAAAAGAAAGAGAAUUUGUUUUUUCCAAAUCUCCCUCUCAAAUCUCUAAAAAACCCUACUCCGCAACCUCCCUCUCUUAGAACAAUUAAGUUCAUUUUCCCCCUCCCCAGUUUCUCUAUCUCGUCCGAAUCCUUACACCCCAACCAUGAAUAUCAAAAUCCUUCAGGAAUAGCAGUUUGAAAUGUAUUCUCUUCUUGGUUAAUUCCCUAUUUCCUUCUCUUUGUCUAUUGCGCAUUGGAAUAACUCUAGGUUGACUACCUCAGCAACCUUGUUGUCUCAAUUCAAUAGAGUGUCAAAUGGGUGGAAGCGCAAGGAAAUUGGAGUUGAAGGGAUGUAGCAGAAAAAGUGGAAGAAAGAGUUGAGGAAGUGAAAAAAUCUGUUGCAGAAUUUGCUACAAUUUGCUUGUAUCGAGCCUAAUAGUUUCUUUCUACCAUUGUUUAAUUGUAAGGAUGUGCUGCUAUUCACAAAUACAUUGAUGUAAUUAGUUACAGAGAUUUUUUGUUUACUUAUUUUAUUACAGUUCAAAUUAUAUAUAUUUAUUGACAUUUAUAGGUAUUUAUUUUAGAAAUUUGAUAUUUA